rnacentral:rRNA from 1 species
GAACGCUGGCGGCAUGCCUAACACAUGCAAGUCGAACGGCAGCACAGCAGUAGCAAUACUGUGGGUGGCGAGUGGCGGACGGGUGAGGAAUACGUCGGAAUCUGCCCAGCCGUGGGGGAUAACUAGCCGAAAGGUUAGCUAAUACCGCAUACGACCGAGAGGUGAAAGCGGGGACCGCAAGGCCUCGCGCGAUUGGAUGAGCCGACGUCGGAUUAGCUAGUUGGCGGGGUAAAGGCCCACCAAGGCGACGAUCCGUAGCUGGUCUGAGAGGAUGAUCAGCCACACUGGAACUGAGACACGGUCCAGACUCCUACGGGAGGCAGCAGUGGGGAAUAUUGGACAAUGGGCGCUAAGCCUGAUCCAGCAAUGCCGCGUGUGUGAAGAAGGCCUUCGGUUGUAAAGCACUUUAUCAGGAACGAAAAGCGUUGGAUUAAUACUCUGACGUGCUGACGGUACCUGAGGAAUAAGCACCGGCUAACUUCGUG